rnacentral:lncRNA from 1 species
CCCAGCCUGUUUAGUAAACUAUGAGAAAAUCACUUAUUGUUAAAAAUUGUUGUGGGAGAAAGCGAUAAGGGAAAUCAGCUAAUGAGGUGCUUUUCAUAUUUUAGUUUUUUAGUUUUCAUUUGUAAAAAACUGAAAACAAGAAACUUGUUUGGUAACUCUAUUUAAAAGUUGUUUGGUAAUUGUUUUCAUUUUUUAUUUUUUAUUUUUCAUUUUUCAGUUUUCAGUUUUUAGUUUUGUGGAAUUUGGAAAUGAAAUUUUUCUUAGGAUCAAAUUGUUAAUGUGAGAUCAUAGAUUGAAAAUACAUAUAUAAUAAUAAUAAAAAAGAGUUUGUAGCAUUUUUCGUUGAAUUUUUCGGAGUUGGGAUGAAUUUUUAGUGAAUUUUGGAUCUGGAGAUCCCGAGGCUUGGACUGGGUCAGCAUACGAACACAAUAGUCAGGCUGCCAAGUCCAAAUGCAACUAAAAAAUGAAAACCGUUACCAAACAUGUUUUCCGUUUUCAAUUUAAAAAAAAAGAUAGAAAAUUGAAAAAUAAAAUGAUUAUCAAAUGGACCCUCCACGUCUCAAUUUUUCUUUCCUAACUUAGGUGGAAAAUGAUAUAUACUCUACAAUAUUGUCUCCAAAUAAUAAAAACUUUGAAGACCUAGAUUGGGAAAAGAAAGUCGGGUUACCUAACAUUGUCCCAAAAAUAAAAAUCAGAUUGGUUUUAGCAGGUUUAGAAGAAAAAAAAAACAAAUUAUUGGGCUACUUAUGAUGAAUUUGAUGUAGAGAACAUAUUGAUUUUGUUUUUUUAUGGUAGAUUUGAAAAAAAAAACAAAAAACAAACAAAGAAGUGGUUUCGUGGAUAUAAAGUUAAUUCAAUUCAAGCUAUAACUCUAGCAGCUUAUUCGUAGAGAAUUUCCACCCAUUUGUCUAGGCAAAAGACAAGGAGAGGUAAGGGUUGUCCCUAUUCACAUGAAUAGUGUCUUCCCUAGCAAUUUUUUUGUUGGUUUUCCACCCAUUGCCAUGGC